CGCUUAACAACUGUGCCACCCAGGCGCCCCUCUUUAUACAUUUUCUGUCUCUAAUUUGUCUUCUCCUCAAACUACUAACUUAUUUUCCUUAAACUCCUCACCAAAACACUUUAGUGAUCAGUAAUAAUUACUAUUUUUAUGAAUUUAAAGUUCUCUCAAACACCAGUCAUUUCUAAUCUCUAACUGUAACAGACUCUUGAGGGUUGUUUCUGUAACAAGUGCCAGACUUAUCUCUUCACUGAAAUGCUCUUCUGAGACCGAUUUCUUUAGGAGGCUGUCCUGGAUCUUCUAUGACUCCAAUUCUUCCUGCUCGGUGUUCUCUGCCUAUCCCAGUGCUGGUAUUGCCUAUGGUUCACUCUCCCUCCAGCUGUCAUUUGUAAACAGACAAUUCCCAAACUUCUAUCUCUUGCUACAACUUUGUCCUGAACUCUGGAAUGGCAUUUGUAAUGACAUACUCUAGCCUUCCAACUGGGUAUCUUUUGAAGUAUCUCCAACUUAGCAAGCACUGCAGCCUUAAAUACCACCACCACCACAGGGAGACAUUACUAAAACACAUUUUGCAAGAAAGGUAAUAAUGAUGAUGACUGAUUUUAAAAGAAAAUAAGCACAUGUGACAUUUUCAAUCUAUGUGCUAAGCUAUUUCAAGGAGGCAGAAUUUUUCCACACACAGGAUGGAUACUGAUCAUUCCACCCAGCAUCUUCAGGGAGAGGCAAAUUCUUUCAGCUUCUCUAGCUUACCGGAAAUGCCGUUAAAGAAUAUUACCUCUCUUUGUUCUUAUUCUGAGCUCCAUAGGCAACUUUCUGAUCCAUAAUUAGAUUGAAAACAAAGGCAGAUGUCUGUUAUUGUGACUGGAUACAGCCGUUGUAUAUUCAUAAACUGGCAUCUAGUUGGUAAAUGAUUCUCUUGUCACAGUUUGCUUGGUGUGAGUCAGUGUCCCAGAGAUGGUGAACUCUAGGUGAACUGUUGAGAUCAAGUUUCUCUAUCUGCAAAACUGAAGACCAGACUUUGGACUGUGGCAACUGAAAAUAGACCGUGAACCUGAGAGGUGAGGCCCAGCCAAGGAGGUCAGCAGACUCUUCUUGUUGAUAUAUUUUUAGCUGCACACAUUUUGAGUUACAUCUCUUUGUCCACACAGUGCAUAUCACAGUGCAAAGCAUCAGAAAGUUGAAUACUUAUUAUCUGACCUCAGCUAUUCAAUGGAGAGUCCAAAAGAAAAUAGCGUAUGCACUCAAUUUCAAAACUAGAAUUUCUAGGAGAUCCACAAAGCCUUCCUGGCAUGAAAGAAGACAAAAGAAAUAAUAAUAGAAACAAACAGCAACAAAACAGCACAUGGAGUGGUGAAGUCCUUAGCAGCCUCGAAAAGAAAGCCUGCCAUUUUUUGAGUAUAUAUUAUGAUGUGGGAAGUGCUUUGCAUUUUCUAUUUCUUUUAAUUAUCCCAAUGUCUCUGGACUGCAAUUAGGCUCAAUUUAUAGUUGAGGAACACACAGUCAAGAGGGGGCAAGCAACUGCCCAGAGUACGCAACUAGUAAGUGGUAGAAGUUGGUUCAAACCUAGGGCAUUUUGACUGCAAAGCUGAUGCUCUUAAACACAGUGGACAUUUGCUGUUUUUCUAGUAACUCUUCACAGCAGCAGGAAUAGUAUGAAGAGCUAAGCUUCAGAAUUUACAUAAAUCUAAGUUUCAAUUAUAGUCUCUAUAACUGCAAAUAGCUAUCCUUAGAUGUACGCUAAAUACUGUUUCUUUGGGAAUUCCAAAUGUAAUCUCAAGAAACAUUAAAAAAGGAUGCAUAUAACAAGAUUAAAAAUGAGUAUCUCUUUGUUUAUUUAAAAGUUGUUUUGAAAAACAUUUCUCAUUCCCUAUUGCUGUAAUCCCACACCCCACCUUGUACUGAGUAGUGUAGUUUAUCUUUUUUGGCCAGGUCCUCAGAGAAAUCAAAUGAUUCCAAAGAAAUCAAAUGGACUUGUGUCCUGGGUCACAGUAGACAUGUGAGUAAUGUGUUAUGUGCAGGAGUAUAAGCGUGUGCCUGUGUAUUUCUGAAAUGAAAAUCAUAAAGCCUUACUGAGUGAAGGAGUCUGAUCUGUUUUGUUUGCUCAUCAUGACCCACUAAUGGGUCAAGAUCUACAGUUUGAAGAGUCCCGCAAUGUGGAAGGAAUGUUUUAGUAGGAGAGAGAACCCUGAGUUCUUUGCUAGCUCCAUUUCUGAAUGGAAAACUUUGCUCACACCAGCAAACCGAGGUGAGAGGAUUAAAUCAGAUCAUUCCAGGGCCUCGGUUUCAAUCUAUCAAGGAUUUCCCACCUUGAUGCUGGUUAUUUUUCUUCAUCAGGUAAUCAGGAAAAGCAGUGCAUUUCUCCCCCAUGGGCAGGACUGAGUGCCCCCGCAUGUCUCCUAUCGCCCUACCUCCUUAUCUGGGUCUGUUUUUAAGGGGCUGCAGUACUGUCAGCUGCUCAGCCCAGGGGCCCAGCUCCAUCCACAGAUCGGUCCCAGCAACAAUGCUGGUUGGAGACGUCAGUCCCCAGGGUCCUCCCCAAAGCAGUAUAACCUUACAGGGUUCAAGCAAGUAAGCACAGUAUUAACAUGGAUUUCUAGUGACAUCUGUUGUGUCUUUAAUGCCCCAUCCCAUCAGACUUCUAAGCCAUAACAGAUCUACUUUGAAUUCAGGGCAAGCUUUUUACAUAUGGAACUGGAAACUCUGACCAUAUCUGGGGGCAAAAUUCUAAACAUUCUGAAAAGAGUAUAAACUUUCCAGUUCAUUAAAAUAAGAGAAUUUAAAAGCAGUAUAUUUACUUGCAGAGAAAGUUCUCUGAUUCUAAUCCCAAAGUGAUUCUGAAAAUCAAAACAUUCUCCAAGUUUUAUCAGAACAAUGACUAUCUGUAUUAGUUCUGUGUACGCACUAAAUAAGCAUACACACAUAUACACCCACAAAACUCUACCAUGCUGAUAUUAAAUAGAGGAAGAUUCCUAUGAAGUUUGGAUAGUUUAGCUAAUUAAGGAGUUUAAAACUGAGUGAAAGCAUCAUAAGGGCUGCAAGUGAUUUAGACUUUUCUACCCACAGGUUUCUGUGACAGGGCACCUGUCUCAGCAGACAACCAGAAAACCCAACACAGGACCAUUAUGCACCUACCUUCUCCACUAAAGAAAAGAAAGGAUUCCACACAAUGAAUGCUACAGAGGACCCUAACCAAUGGCCAAAGACUGGAUAAACUGAAGCAAGUCUAAGAAGAAACUGAAGGUCUCGCAAAUCCACAGGCCACCAGGUACCACAGGAACUGAUCAAGUCCUGGCGCUGUGUCCCAUACGCUCUUG